UACUGGCAGAACAAGUGGUACCCACGAAUAUUGGGUCUAAAGAGUCCGUAGCGGGCCGGCUAAGUCCACUGUGAAAUCCAACAGCUCAACUGUUGGGCGUGCAGUGGAUACUGACUGGCUUGGGAGUGGGGGAGGUCGGGAGUACUUGCGGGGUAGUGGUAAAAUAUUGUAAUCCUGCAAGGACUACCAGUGGCGAAGGCGCCCGACCAAAACACGUCCGACCGUGAGGGACGAAGGCUAGGAGAACGAAUCG
rnacentral:rRNA from 1 species